rnacentral:rRNA from 1 species
AGUCAUAUGCUUGUCUCAAAGAUUAAGCCAUGCAUGUCUCAGUACAAGCCGAAUUAAGGUGAAACCGCGAAAGGCUCAUUAAAUCAGUUAUGGUUCCUUAGAUCGUACCCACAUUUACUUGGAUAACUGUGGUAAUUCUAGAGCUAAUACAUGCAAACAGAGCUCCGACCGGAGACGGAAGGAGCGCUUUUAUUAGAUCAAAACCAAUCGGCGGCGGGCUUGCUCGUCGUCGUACACUUUGGUGAAUCUGAAUAACUUUCUGCUGAUCGCAUGGUCUCGCACCGGCGACGCAUCUUUCAAAUGUCUGCCUUAUCAACUGUCGAUGGUAGGUUCUGCGCCUACCAUGGUUGUAACGGGUAACGGGGAAUCAGGGUUCGAUUCCGGAGAGGGAGCCUGAGAAACGGCUACCACAUCCAAGGAAGGCAGCAGGCGCGCAAAUUACCCACUCCCGGCACGGGGAGGUAGUGACGAAAAAUAACGAUACGGGACUCAUCCGAGGCCCCGUAAUCGGAAUGAGUACACUCUAAACCCUUUAACGAGGAUCAAUUGGAGGGCAAGUCUGGUGCCAGCAGCCGCGGUAAUUCCAGCUCCAAUAGCGUAU